rnacentral:rRNA from 1 species
GGUUAAGCGACUAAGCGUACACGGUGGAUGCCCUGGCAGUCAGAGGCGAUGAAGGACGUGCUAAUCUGCGAAAAGCGCCGGCGAGGUGAUAUGAACCCUUGACCCGGCGAUGUCCGAAUGGGGAAACCCAGUGUGUUUCGACACACUAUCGUUAACUGAAUACAUAGGUUAACGAGGCGAACCGGGGGAACUGAAACAUCUAAGUACCCCGAGGAAAAGAAAUCAACCGAGAUUCCCCCAGUAGCGGCGAGCGAACGGGGAGCAGCCCGGAGUCUGAAUCAGCUUGUGUGUUAGUGGAACGGUCUGGAAAGUCCGACGGUACAGGGUGAUAGUCCCGUACACGAAAGCACACUUGCUGUGAACUCGAAGAGUAGGGCGGGACACGUGGUAUCCUGUCUGAAUAUGGGGGGACCAUCCUCCAAGGCUAAAUACUCCUGACUGACCGAUAGUGAACCAGUACCGUGAGGGAAAGGCGAAAAGAACCCCGGCGAGGGGAGUGAAAAAGAACCUGAAACCGUGUACGUACAAGCAGUGGGAGCACCUUCGUGGUGUGACUGCGUACCUUUUGUAUAAUGGGUCAGCGACUUAUAUUCUGUAGCAAGGUUAACCGUAUAGGGGAGCCGAAGGGAAACCGAGUCUUAACUGGGCGUUAAGUUGCAGGGUAUAGACCCGAAACCCGGUGAUCUAGCCAUGGGCAGGUUGAAGGUUGGGUAACACUAACUGGAGGACCGAACCGACUAAUGUUGAAAAAUUAGCGGAUGACCUGUGGCUGGGGGUGAAAGGCCAAUCAAACCGGGAGAUAGCUGGUUCUCCCCGAAAGCUAUUUAGGUAGCGCCUCGUGAACUCAUCUUCGGGGGUAGAGCACUGUUUCGGCUAGGGGGCCAUCCCGGCUUACCAACCCGAUGCAAACUACGAAUACCGAAGAAUGUUAUCACGGGAGACACACGGCGGGUGCUAACGUCCGUCGUGAAGAGGGAAACAACCCAGACCGCCAGCUAAGGUCCCAAAGUCAUGGUUAAGUGGGAAACGAUGUGGGAAGGCACAGACAGCCAGGAUGUUGGCUUAGAAGCAGCCAUCAUUUAAAGAAAGCGUAAUAGCUCACUGGUCGAGUCGGCCUGCGCGGAAGAUGUAACGGGGCUAAACCAUGCACCGAAGCUGCGGCAGCGACACUAUGUGUUGUUGGGUAGGGGAGCGUUCUGUAAGCCGUUGAAGGUGUGCUGUGAGGCAUGCUGGAGGUAUCAGAAGUGCGAAUGCUGACAUAAGUAACGAUAAAGCGGGUGAAAAGCCCGCUCGCCGGAAGACCAAGGGUUCCUGUCCAACGUUAAUCGGGGCAGGGUGAGUCGACCCCUAAGGCGAGGCCGAAAGGCGUAGUCGAUGGGAAACAGGUUAAUAUUCCUGUACUUGGUGUUACUGCGAAGGGGGGACGGAGAAGGCUAUGUCAGCCGGGCGACGGUUGUCCCGGUUUAAGCAUGUAGGCGGAGGUUCCAGGUAAAUCCGGUACCUUUUAACGCUGAGGUGUGAUGACGAGGCACUACGGUGCUGAAGUGAUAAAUGCCCUGCUUCCAGGAAAAGCCUCUAAGCAUCAGGUAACACGAAAUCGUACCCCAAACCGACACAGGUGGUCAGGUAGAGAAUACCAAGGCGCUUGAGAGAACUCGGGUGAAGGAACUAGGCAAAAUGGUGCCGUAACUUCGGGAGAAGGCACGCUGAUAUGUAGGUGAAGCCCCUGCGGGCGGAGCUGAAAUCAGUCGAAGAUACCAGCUGGCUGCAACUGUUUAUUAAAAACACAGCACUGUGCAAACACGAAAGUGGACGUAUACGGUGUGACGCCUGCCCGGUGCCGGAAGGUUAAUUGAUGGGGUUAGCGGCAACGCGAAGCUCUUGAUCGAAGCCCCGGUAAACGGCGGCCGUAACUAUAACGGUCCUAAGGUAGCGAAAUUCCUUGUCGGGUAAGUUCCGACCUGCACGAAUGGCGUAAUGAUGGCCAGGCUGUCUCCACCCGAGACUCAGUGAAAUUGAACUCGCUGUGAAGAUGCAGUGUACCCGCGGCAAGACGGAAAGACCCCGUGAACCUUUACUAUAGCUUGACACUGAACACUGGUCCUUGAUGUGUAGGAUAGGUGGGAGGCUUUGAAGCGUGGACGCCAGUCUGCGUGGAGCCGUCCUUGAAAUACCACCCUUUAAUGGCUGGUGUUCUAACGUAGACCCGUGAUCCGGGUUGCGGACAGUGUCUGGUGGGUAGUUUGACUGGGGCGGUCUCCUCCCAAAGAGUAACGGAGGAGCACGAAGGUUGGCUAAUCCUGGUCGGACAUCAGGAGGUUAGUGCAAUGGCAUAAGCCAGCUUGACUGCGAGCGUGACGGCGCGAGCAGGUGCGAAAGCAGGUCAUAGUGAUCCGGUGGUUCUGAAUGGAAGGGCCAUCGCUCAACGGAUAAAAGGUACUCCGGGGAUAACAGGCUGAUACCGCCCAAGAGUUCAUAUCGACGGCGGUGUUUGGCACCUCGAUGUCGGCUCAUCACAUCCUGGGGCUGAAGUAGGUCCCAAGGGUAUGGCUGUUCGCCAUUUAAAGUGGUACGCGAGCUGGGUUUAGAACGUCGUGAGACAGUUCGGUCCCUAUCUGCCGUGGGCGCUGGAGAAUUGAGGGGGGCUGCUCCUAGUACGAGAGGACCGGAGUGGACGCAUCACUGGUGUUCGGGUUGUCAUGCCAAUGGCACUGCCCGGUAGCUAAAUGCGGAAGAGAUAAGUGCUGAAAGCAUCUAAGCACGAAACUUGCCCCGAGAUGAGUUCUCCCUGAGACUUUAAGUCUCCUGAAGGAACGUUGAAGACGACGACGUUGAUAGGUCGGGUGUGUAAGCGCAGCGAUGCGUUGAGCUAACCGAUACUAAUGAACCGUGAGGCUUAACCUU